AACGCACAUUGCGCCCAUUAGUAUUCUAGUGGGCAUGCCUGUUCGAGCGUCAUUUCAACCCUUAAGCCUAGCUUAGUGUUGGGAAUCUACUUCUCUUAGGAGUUGUAGUUCCUGAAAUACAACGGCGGAUUUGUAGUAUCCUCUGAGCGUAGUAAUCUUUUUCUCGCUUUUGUUAGGUGCUAUAACUCCCAGCCGCUAAACCCCCAAUUUUUUGUGGUUGACCUCGGAUCAGGUAGGAAUACCCGCUGAACUUAA
rnacentral:misc_RNA from 1 species